UAGCUCAGUGGUUAGAGCACCUGUCAUGCCUACAGGAGGUCCCAGGUUCGAUUCCUGG
rnacentral:tRNA from 1 species